rnacentral:rRNA from 1 species
UACGUAGGGUGCGAGCGUUAAUCGGAAUUACUGGGCGUAAAGCGUGCGCAGGCGGUUCGUUGUGUCUGUGGUGAAAGCCCCGGGCUUAACCUGGGAAUGGCCAUGGAAACUGGCGAGCUGGAGUGUGGCAGAGGGGGGUGGAAUUCCGCGUGUAGCAGUGAAAUGCGUAGAGAUCAUGAGGAAGACCAGUGGCGAAGGCGGGUCUCUGGACAGUUCCUGACGCUGAGGCACGAAGGUCAGGGGAGCAAACGGG